rnacentral:rRNA from 1 species
AACGAACGCUGGCGGCAUGCCUAACACAUGCAAGUCGAACGAGACCUUCGGGUCUAGUGGCGCACGGGUGCGUAACGCGUGGGAACCUGCCCUUAGGUUCGGAAUAACUCCCCGAAAGGGGUGCCAACAGCGGACAAUGUCUUCGGACCAAAGAUUUAUCGCCUUUGGAUGGGCCCGCGUUGGAUUAGCUAGUUGGUAGGGUAAAAGCCUACCAAGGCGACGAUCCAUAGCUGGUCUGAGAGGAUGAUCAGCCACCCUGGGACUGAGACCCGGCCCAGACUCCUACGGGAGGCAGGAGUGGGGAAUAUUGGAAAGUGGGCGAAAGCCUGAAGCAGCGAGGCCGCGUGAGUGAUGAAGGCCUUAGGGAUGUAAAGCUCUUUUAACCGGGAUGAUAAUGACAGUACCGGGAGAGUAAGCGCCGGCUAACUCCGUG